AACCGCGCGGUGAGCACAAAGCGAACUAUUCUUUCGCCUUUUACUAAAGAAUACCGUGUGCUCGCCGCACUCAGCGGUAUACACCUAUUUUUGUAGGGAUUCUCCACUUUUGUGGAGAA
rnacentral:snRNA from 1 species